GUUCUUGUAGUUGAAUACAACGGUGGUUUUUCAAGUCAUUGGUCUUGGUU
rnacentral:tRNA from 1 species